rnacentral:lncRNA from 1 species
GCGGGGAGCCUGGGGGCGGGCGGCUGAGCGCGCGCGCGCGCGCGGAGGAAGCGCGGCUGGAACCGGGACUAGAAGCGCAGCGGAGCUGCACGGGAGGGAGCGUUUGAGGGGAGGACGGUUCGCUGACAGCAUCUCGACCCAGCAUUCUUCUUUCGUGAGAGGAAAAGAAAAUGGAAAAGCACGGGUAGUGUGCAGGAUUUAGAUGCUAAAAGGAAUGGCAGAGAACCUUCUGGAGACAGAGCCCGUCACAGAAUCAAAUUUUUCUACCUA